CAAGCCGCGGUAAUUCCAGCUCCAAUAGCGUAUAUUAAAGUUGUUGCAGUUAAAAAGCUCGUAGUUGAAUUUCGGGAUCAAUUUGCUGGUCGUGCCUUCGGUACGCACUGGUAUUAUUGGUUUCUCCUUUCUGAUGAAUCGCGAUGUCAUUAAUUUGGUGUCGUGGGGAAUCAGGACCGUUACUUUGAAAAAAUUAGAGUGUUUAAAGCAGGCUCACGCUUGAAUACAUUAGCAUGGAAUAAUGAAAUAGGACGUUUGAUUCUAUUUUGUUGGUUUCUAGGAUCGACGUAAUGAUUAAUAGGGAUAGUUGGGGGCAUUAGUAUUCAAUUGUCAGAGGUGAAAUUCUUGGAUUUAUUGAAGACUAACUACUGCGAAAGCAUUUGCCAAGGAUGUUUUCAUUAAUCAAGAACGAAAGUUAGGGGAUCGAAGACGAUCAGAUACCGUCGUAGUCUUAACCAUAAACUAUGCCGACUAGGGAUCGGAUGAUGUUAAUUUUUUAAUGACUCAUUCGGCGCCUUACG
rnacentral:misc_RNA from 1 species